rnacentral:misc_RNA from 1 species
GGCUUUCAAAAUGGGAACUCAGAAAAUGGAGGAGGAUUUUAUGUCUCAAAUGAUGAUUCACUAGAAGCUAUGCCAUUUUCUUCACCGGCUGGUUUUUCUUUGGGUCAAGAAUAUUUCUUAGAACCCUUUCCCAAGGGUUCUGCAACUUGGCCAGAGGAAACGCUGCCUUCGUCAAGCCCGUUGUCCACAUCAUCAGCAAUGCACAAAUCCCAGUACAAGUUUUUGAAAGCUUCAUGUCAGAGUACAGCCAC